rnacentral:rRNA from 1 species
CUACGUAGGGGGCGAGCGUUGUCCGGAAUGAUUGGGCGUAAAGGGCGCGUAGGCGGCCCGGUAAGUCUGGAGUGAAAGUCCUGUUUUUAAGAUGGGAAUUGCUUUGGAUACUGUCGGGCUUGAGUGCAGGAGAGGUAAGUGGAAUUCCCAGUGUAGCGGUGAAAUGCGUAGAGAUUGGGAGGAACACCAGUGGCGAAGGCGACUUACAGGACUUUAACUGACGCUGAGGCGCGAAAGUGUGGGGAGCAAACAUGAUUAGAUACCCUGGUAGUCCACACUGUAAACGAUGAAUGCUAGGUGUAAGAGGUAUCGACCCCUUUUGUGCCGGAGUCAACACAAUAAGCAUUCCGCCUGGGGAGUACGGUCGCAAGGUUGACUCUCAAAUGAAUUGACGGGG